rnacentral:lncRNA from 1 species
UAUAUUCACCCUCAUAAUCUCCAAUUGUAAUAUUGUGCCCUCAUAGCUUUCAGCACACAAUUACCCUCAUUCCAAUAAGUGAAAUUCUUCACACAGAACUGCCAUUCACAUUACAAUGUUUCACACAAACACAAACUCAUUCUCUCUACUGAACUACAAUCAGAUUUCAGCAUUCAAUCUUUCUUCUUCUCAAAUAAUACCAAUCACAUUUCCAUCCCUUAAUUCACUUUACAAUAUUCAAAAACUUUCAAUCCUCUUAUUCAAAGAAAAUAACAAACAAAAGAAAAGAGAUAGCACCAAGCUUACCCCGGCUUAUACUAUCACAGCGAUGGCCCUCAGCUCAUGACUAUCACAGUCUGGCCCCUUAAUUAACUUCUACAACUCCUAUAUACUUUCUCCUGAUUCUCCAGAUUCUAACUGUAAUUCUGUAAUUAACCGCUUUUAAGAACUAAAUCACUCAUCCGUCCUCUUGAAUUUCCUAUUGUAU